GACGUAGGGUGCGAGCGUUGUCCGGAUUUAUUGGGCGUAAAGAGCUCGUAGGCGGCUCGUCGCGUCGGCUGUGAAAACCCGUGGCUUAACUGCGGGCUUGCAGCUGAUACGGGCGGGCUAGAGUUCGGUAGGGGAGACUGGAAUUCCUGGUGUAGCGGUGAAAUGCGCAGAUAUCAGGAGGAACACCGGUGGCGAAGGCGGGUCUCUGGGCCGAUACUGACGCUGAGACGCGAAAGCGUGGGGAGCGAACAGG
rnacentral:rRNA from 1 species